AUUGAACGCUGGCGGCAGGCUUAACACAUGCAAGUCGAACGGUAACAGGAAGAAAGCUUGCUUUCUUUGCUGACGAGUGGCGGACGGGUGAGUAAUGCUUGGGAAUCUGGCUUAUGGAGGGGGAUAACUACGGGAAACUGUAGCUAAUACCGCGUAGUAUCGGAAGAUGAAAGUGUGGGACCGCAAGGCCACAUGCCAUAAGAUGAGCCCAAGUGGGAUUAGGUAGUUGGUUAGGUAAAGGCUGACCAAGCCGACGAUCUCUAGCUGGUCUGAGAGGAUGACCAGCCACACUGGAACUGAGACACGGUCCAGACUCCUACGGGAGGCAGCAGUGGGGAAUAUUGCACAAUGGGGGGAACCCUGAUGCAGCCAUGCCGCGUGAAUGAAGAAGGCCUUCGGGUUGUAAAGUUCUUUCGGUGAUGAGGAAGGUGUUUGUUUUAAUAGGACAAGCAAUUGACGUUAGUCACAGAAGAAGCACCGGCUAACUCCGUGCCAGCAGCCGCGGUAAUACGGAGGGUGCGAGCGUUAAUCGGAAUAACUGGGCGUAAAGGGCACGCAGGCGGUGACUUAAGUGAGAUGUGAAAGCCCCGGGCUUAACCUGGGAAUUGCAUUUCAUACUG
rnacentral:rRNA from 1 species